rnacentral:tRNA from 1 species
AAUUAGGAAGCGAAAAUCGCAUUUAGUUUCGGCCUAAACCUUGGUGACUAACACCCCUAAUUU